AUUGAACGCUGGCGGCAGGCCUAACACAUGCAAGUCGAGCGGAGCGGCGGACGGGUGAGUAAUGCCUAGGAAUCUGCCUGGUAGUGUGGGAUAACGUCCGGAAACGGGCGCUAAUACCGCAUACUAUCAGAUGAGCCUUGGUCGGAUUAGCUAGUUGGGGGGGUAAAGGCCUACCAAGGCGACGAUACGUAACUGGUCUGAGAGGAUGAUCAGUCAAACUGGAACGGGGACACGGUCCAGAGUCCUACGGGAGGCAGCAGUGGGGAAUAUUGGACAAUGGGCGAAAGCCUGAUGCAGCCAUGCCGCGUGUGUGAAGAAGGUCUUCGGAUGGUAAAGCACUUUAAGUUGGGAGGCGGUACCAACAGAAUAAGCACCGGCUAACUUCGUGCCAGCAGCCGCGGUAAUUC
rnacentral:rRNA from 1 species